GUGGUAAUGCCGGAUGCUCCAGUUGAUCGCAUGGUCUUCUGGGAAAGCUUUCGCGGUAUGGGAUGGGGUCGCGUCCUAUCAGCUUGACGGCGGGGUAACGGCCCACCGUGGCUUCGACGGGUAGCCGGCCUGAGAGGGCGACCGGCCACAUUGGGACUGAGAUACGGCCCAGACUCCUACGGGAGGCAGCAGUGGGGAAUAUUGCACAAUGGGCGCAAGCCUGAUGCAGCGACGCCGCGUGAGGGAUGGAGGCCUUCGGGUUGUAAACCUCUUUUAUCGGGGAGCAAGCGAGAGUGAGUUUACCCGUUGAAUAAGCACCGGCUAACUACGUGCCAGCAGCCGCGGUAAUACGUAGGGUGCAAGCGUUAUCCGGAAUUAUUGGGCGUAAAGGGCUCGUAGGCGGUUCGUCGCGUCCGGUGUGAAAGUCCAUCGCUUAACGGUGGAUCCGCGCCGGGUACGGGCGGGCUUGAGUGCGGUAGGGGAGACUGGAAUUCCCGGUGUAACGGUGGAAUGUGUAGAUAUCGAAGAAAACACC
rnacentral:rRNA from 1 species